GAUGAAGAACGCAGCGAAAUGCGAUAAGUAGUGUGAAUUGCAGAAUUCAGUGAAUCAUCGAAUCUUUGAACGCACAUUGCGCCCUUUGGUAUUCCAAAGGGCAUGCCUGUUCGAGCGUCGUUUGUACCCUCAAGCUUUGCUUGGUGUUGGGCGUCUUGUCUCUAGCUUUGCUGGAGACUCGCCUUAAAGUAAUUGGCAGCCGGCCUACUGGUUUCGGAGCGCAGCACAAGUCGCACUCUCUAUCAGCAAAGGUCUAGCAUCCAUUAAGCCUUUUUUUCAACUUUUGACCUCGGAUCAGGUAGGGAUACCCGCUGAACUUAAGCAUAUCAAUAAGCGGAGGA
rnacentral:misc_RNA from 1 species